ACCUGACUGCUAUCGGAUUGAUACUAAGCCAUGCGAGUCAUUGUAGUAAUACAAGGCAGACGGCUCAGUAACGCGUAGUCAACCUAACCUAUGGACGGGAAUAACCUCGGGAAACUGAGUAUAAUGCCCGAUAGAACAUUAUGCCUGGAAUGGUUUAUGUUCCAAAUGAUUUAUCGCCGUAGGAUGGGACUGCGGCCUAUCAGUUUGUUGGUGAGGUAAUGGCCCACCAAGACUAUUACAGGUACGGGCUCUGAGAGGAGUGGCCCGGAGAUGGGUACUGAGACACGGACCCAGGCCCUAUGGGGCGCAGCAGGCGAGAAAACUUUGCAAUGUGCGAAAGCACGACAAGGUUAAUCCGAGUGGUUUCUGCUAAAGGAACCUUUUGUCGGUCCUAGAAACACCGAUGAAUAAGGGGUGGGCAAGUUCUGGUGUCAGCCGCCGCGGUAAAACCAGCACCUCAAGUGGUCAGGAUGGUUAUUGGGCCUAAAGCAUCCGUAGCCGGCUCUGUAAGUUUUCGGUUAAAUCUGUACGCUUAACGUACAGGCUGCCGGGAAUACUGCAGAGCUAGGGAGUGGGAGAGGUAGACGGUACUCGGUAGGAAGGGGUAAAAUCCUUUGAUCUAUUGAUGACCACCUGUGGCGAAGGCGGUCUACCAGAACACGUCCGACGGUGAGGGAUGAAAGCUGGGGGAGCAAACCGGAUUAGAUACCCGGGUAGUCCCAGCUGUAAACUAUGCAAACUCAGUGAUGCAUUGGCUUGUGGCCAAUGCAGUGCUGCAGGGAAGCCGUUAAGUUUGCCGCCUGGGAAGUACGUACGCAAGUAUGAAACUUAAAGGAAUUGGCGGGGGAGCACCACAAGGGGUGAAGCCUGCGGUUC
rnacentral:rRNA from 2 species